rnacentral:rRNA from 1 species
AUACGGAGGAUGCGAGCGUUAUCCGGAUUUAUUGGGUUUAAAGGGUGCGUAGGCUGUGCGUUAAGUCAGGGGUGAAAUGCCGUCGCUCAACGACGGAGCUGCCCUUGAUACUGGCGUGCUGGAGUACGGAUGCCGUUGGAGGAAUGAGUGGUGUAGCGGUGAAAUGCUUAGAUAUAACUCAGAACACCGAUUGCGAAGGCAUCUGGCGAAUCCGUCACUGACGCUGAGGCACGAAAGCGUGGGGAUAGAACAGGAUUAGAUUCCCUGGUAUUCCACGCCGUAAACGAUGAUGACUAACCGUCGGCGAUAGACAGCCGGUGGCCAAGCGAAAGCGAUAAGUCAUCCACCUGGGGAGUACGUCGGCAACGAUGAAACUCAAAUGAAUUGACGGGG